rnacentral:rRNA from 1 species
UUGACCUCAAAUCGGGUGAGACUACCCGCUGAACUUAANNNNNNCAAUAAGCGGAGGAAAAGAAACUAACAAGGAUUCCCCUAGUAACUGCGAGUGAAGCGGGAAAAGCUCAAAUUUAAAAUCUGGCGGUCUUUGGCCGUCCGAGUUGUAAUUUAGAGAAGCGUCUUCCGCGUCGGACCGUGCACAAGUCUCCUGGAAUGGAGCGUCAUAGAGGGUGAGAAUCCCGUCUUUGGCACGGAUGCCCGAUGCUUCUGUGAUGCGCUCUCGAAGAGUCGAGUUGUUUGGGAAUGCAGCUCAAAAUGGGUGGUGAACUCCAUCUAAAGCUAAAUAUUGGCGAGAGACCGAUAGCGAACAAGUACCGUGAGGGAAAGAUGAAAAGCACUUUGGAAAGAGAGUGAAACAGUACGUGAAAUUGUUGAAAGGGAAACGCUUGAAGUCAGUCGCGUCGACCGAGACUCAGCCUUGCCUUGGCUUGGUGUACUUCUCGGCCCGACGGGUCAGCGUCAAUUUUGCCCCUCGGAUAAUGGCAAGGGAAAGGUGGCACCUUUACGGGUGUGUUAUAGUCUCCUGUCGCAUGCGAGGGGUGGGAUUGAGGAACUCAGCGCGCACCAAGGCGGUGUCGGGGCUUCUGCCCACGUAACGCGCUUAGGAUGCUGGCGUAAUGGCUUUAAACGACCCGUCUUGAAACACGGACCAAGGAGUCCAACACGCCCGCGAGUGUUCGGGUGGAAAACCCGUGCGCGUAAUUAAAGUGAAAGUUGGGACCUCUGUCGUGGAGGGCACCGACGCCCGGACCAGACCUUCUGUGACGGAUCUGCGGUAGAGCGUGUGUGUUGGGACCCGAAAGAUGGUGAACUAUGCCUGAAUAGGGUGAAGCCAGAGGAAACUCUGGUGGAGGCUCGUAGCGAUUCUGACGUGCAAAUCGAUCGUCAAAUUUGGGUAUAGGGGCGAAAGACUAAUCGAACCAUCUAGUAGC